rnacentral:rRNA from 1 species
UACGGGGGGAGCAAGCGUUGUUCGGAUUUACUGGGCGUAAAGGGCGCGUAGGCGGCGUAACAAGUCACUUGUGAAAUCUCCGGGCUUAACCUGGAGCGGCCAAGUGAUACUGUUGUGCUAGAGUGCGGAAGGGGCUACUGGAAUUCUCGGUGUAGCGGUGAAAUGCGUAGAUAUCUGGAGGAACACCGGUGGCGAAGGCGGCAUCCUGGACCGGCAUUGACGCUGAGGAGCGAAAGCCAGGGGAGCAAACGGG